rnacentral:lncRNA from 1 species
AUGAAUCUCAACCUUCAACAAUCACCAAGAAACUUCAAAAAUACAAUCCGCAACAAUCAUCAUCACGUCUUCACAAUAAUCUCGACAAUUUCAACACAGAACCAAAGCUUCACAUCAUCAUUAACGAGCAUUCAAUCAUCUUCAAGCUUCAUAUUCAAGAAUAUUUACUCUCACCUUCAAUCUUCAUCAUGUUUCAUCAUUUGCCUCAACAUCGCAACAUCAUCAACGCGAGUACAAUUCAGAAGAAACAGAAGCAAAGAGUAG